AAAAUAAUUUUAAUUGAAGAAAAGGAAAACAUUAAAGCUGCUUAAUUUCACAUGCUAGUAAAUUUGAUGUUAGUACAUUUAGAUAUUGAAAGCGUUACAUUGUAAUAGCUAUGACAUUAGGGACCAGUUCCAUUUCUUUAACGUCUAUGUUAGACAAAUUUGAUUAUAUUAUGCAACUAGUAUACGUAGUUGGUUAAUUUCCACAUGUACAAAAAUGCACUAGUCUUACUUGUGCAUUGACAUGGGCAUAUGUAAGAAUCUGGCUAAGGAGCCUGUAUUUCUGUGUUCUUUUUCUCUAUUUCAUAUAGUUUAGUGCCUCAUUAUUAUCUUUUCUUUAUUUCCCCUAUAUAUACUCUUAUUAUAUAAAAACAACACCCAGACCCUUAUUAUAAAAAUAAUGUAUCUUUCUGUGCCAAUUCCUUAAUGCCAUAUCCCUACCGCUGUUUUGAUAAAUUUCAUAUUCGAAAAGUUUGCUACAUCUUCCAGUAACAAGAAAAGUUUGAACUAGUAUCACUAUCCCCAAUAUUUGAGGUAUUAACUUUUCACUUGUUUUGGGUCCUGCUUAUAUCAGUUGUAGUUUUGGAGCUACAAUGUCGCUCUUUGUUUCAUUCUAAGGCUCAUUAAAAUCAAUGUACACAAAAGUCUAAACUAAUAAUUUAACAAAUCUAUUGAUAAAAAAGUUACUACUCAUCGUCAAUAGCCUUUAGAUACAAUCCCACGUGACCCUUUCGUAUCCUUUGGCUAUUGAGGACCAAAACUACUUGACUUUUACAUCGGUUUGCAUACAUACGUUUGACCAUUUUUGCAGUCGAUGGGUAUUUUCAAUUGAGCAAAAUCUUUAUACAUCUCAACACCAUGAUUGUAAUGAUGAAUUCCAUCUAAUUGUUACUUUGAAAAUAUGUCAAAAAAAGGGCUCUCUCUAGCAUUGUGCUAUUUCCGAUUAAUGUGUUCGAACAACCGAUAAAUUCAACAAAUAUUUACUUUUUUUAAUUUGAAAGAACUGUAUCAGGUAAAAAAAAUGAUGACAUGUCAGUAAAUAACAGCAUAAUAGUAACACAGAAACUUUUACAAAUUAUUGUAAAGCUUUUAAAAAUUUGUUCGUCUGCACUCAAACUUUUCUACCCUAUUGUAUUGUUUUGACAAUAUUUUAUUCAGUGAAAGAGAUUACUAAGAAAAGAAGCAGACGCCAUUGAAAAUAUGGCGAUUAAUUAAAAUAUAUACCUAAAUUGUGAACUUUCAGACCAAAAAAUAAAUAAUAAUAACUAAGGAUAAAUAUACCUUAUCACUGGAAAAAUAAAAACGGAUAACGAUUCAAAAUGCCAAUUUGAUAUGGAUAAUUUGUUCCUAUUCAGUGCAAAAACUAUGACGUAAUAGGGGUUGAAUUGUAACCUUUUUUCUCACUGAAAAAACUUCUAAGAACAAACACUUGUCCGAUUCCUAACAUAAGAAUAAAAAAUGUCUGUCCUAACGACCAGUAGAAAACGCGACUGUUCAAAUCAUCAGCGUAUAUUCGACCUUUGGCUUCUUUCAAUCUGAAGUGUGUCUGGCUAUCAACUACCUCUCUAAGUGAUGAGUGGAUAUCUUCAGAGGCUGUCUCCAUCUACAAUAUUAAAAAAUACGUAUCGUGAGUUGAUAAGGUCUAUUGAAGUUAGUAGAAACUGUUAUAUUUUAGGAUCCAUUCGUUGUAUGCCACUGAACCAAAAGGUCUGAAUGGACAUGAUAAGAUAUUUGUCCAAAAAGAUAACAUAUAUACGAACGCCAAUAAAGAAUUGCAAUUUCCAAUAUAAUUUUACCAGUCCACUAUUUUAAGUUUAUGAAAACCCUUAUAAGUAAUACAUACACCGUUUCGUCAUUUUCACAGAUACACCCCAUCCUUUUCCAUGGUCUA
rnacentral:lncRNA from 1 species